rnacentral:rRNA from 1 species
AUUGAACGCUGGCGGCAUGCCUUACACAUGCAAGUCGAACGGCAGCACGGGUGCUUGCCCCUGGUGGCGAGUGGCGCACGGGUGAGUAAUACAUCGGAACAUGUCCUGUAGUGGGGGAUAGCCCGGCGAAAGCCGGAUUAAUACCGCAUACGAUCUACGGAUGAAAGCGGGGUACCUUCGGGCCUCGCGCUAUAGGGUUGGCCGAUGGCUGAUUAGCUAGUUGGUGGGGUAAAGGCCUACCAAGGCGACGAUCAGUAGCUGGUCUGAGAGGACGACCAGCCACACUGGGACUGAGACACGGCCCAGACUCCUACGGGAGGCAGCAGUGGGGAAUUUUGGACAAUGGGCGAAAGCCUGAUCCAGCAAUGCCGCGUGUGUGAAGAAGGCCUUCGGGUUGUAAAGCACUUUUGUCCGGAAAGAAAUCCUUUGCCCUAAUACGGUCGGGGGUUGACGGUACCGGAAGAAUAAGCACCGGCUAACUACGUG